AACGCAAAUUGCGCUUUCGGGAUAGUCCUGAAAGCACGCCUCUUUGAGUAUCGAUUCAACCAACGCUCUACGGCGUGCUUAAUUGUGCGUGCAGUAGGAGCUGAACUGAGUUUCAUACUUGCAAAAGUAUGUGACUUUAAGCAACGACAGACGUUCCUGGCUGCUUUGAAAGCACUAAGUUUGAACCUGUCGGCCAAAAGCAAUGCGGUUAAUUUGUCCUUCGGGGUGAAUACGACAUGCGUUUGUUUGAAGCUGACCUCUGGUAAAAAGGAGAAAAGGGUAUGAGCUGAAGCUAUCGAGGUGCUAAGAGCAACUUACUUCAGUCUUUGGACUAGUAAACUCAAUUUUCGAUUUAGAUCUCAAAUGAAGCGAGAAAACCCGCCGAACUUAA
rnacentral:misc_RNA from 1 species